UACGGAGGGUGCGAGCGUUGUCCGGAAUCACUGGGCGUAAAGGGCGCGUAGGCGGCGCGGGCAGUCAACGGUGAAAGCUCGGGGCUCAACUCCGAGUCGGCCGUCGAUACUCCCCGCGCUCGAGCACUGUAGAGGCAGGUGGAAUUCCGGGUGUAGCGGUGGAAUGCGUAGAGAUCCGGAAGAACACCGGUGGCGAAGGCGGCCUGCUGGGCAGUAGCUGACGCUGAGGCGCGACAGCGUGGGGAGCAAACAGG
rnacentral:rRNA from 1 species